UAAACUUAUAUUAUCCUAUCAAUUAAAUUAAUAGUAGCGUACGCGUUAUCACGAAUUAUUUAUUUAGGACACUCGGGGACGAAGUGAUAUUGUUCGUACAUUUUAUUGUAAAAUUCUCAAAUGUCGGAAUGUACCAUGCGAUGGCGCAUUUAGGGGCAUAGCAUACACCCUUAAAUGCGAUUACACACACCGAGUAUCUAAUUUCCCGAUUGGGAUGGUAGAUAUCCAUUGCUCAAUCUCUAAUUUAUAAUUUAUUUAGCUUCUGGGUUCUGGAGGGUCAAUCAUUAUAGUACUUAAAUGAACUAAUACCUACUGCUAUAGUCAAAUAUAGUUAUUAUACUAUAUUAAUUUAAUUUCAAUUUUAAUUUUAAGGUAGAUUGAAGCAUAAAUUGUGUACAAAAACACUGUACUCGUAUAAUUGUACACAUUGAUUUUUUUUAAUUGUACUGGUACACCGUACACUGCUUGACUGCUUGAAUCCGGUACACUUACGAAAAAAAAAAAAUUUAUAUAUAUAUAUAUAUACCCAUCUGUAUUAUAAACAUCAUUACAAGAUGUGUUUGUUGACAAUUUUCUAAAAUUGUCUCGGGCGGGCUAAAAUACAAUGUCAAUUCAAUGGGUAAAAGUCCAAAUCAACUGCGUUAGGUUCUAUAUCAAAUACGUCAAGUAUUUCUAAUCGUACAUACGAUUAACUACUCAUAAAAUAAGUAGGGACUUAUAAUGUAAUUGUUAAUGUUUAUUAAAAUUUAAAUUUGAUUAGUUCGGAUAUCGAAUUUUGUUGUUAUCAAUGCUAAAUAUU